UUGUGGUUAAUUUGAAGUAAGCUUUUCUUUUAAAUAUGUUUUUUUGUAAUACAAAGACUGACGAUAUGCGGUUAUAUCCGUUUUGCUGGCUACAACAGGUCUGUUUGUUCUGGUUGGUUCCAUCCUAGUCUUUCUCACUAACCCUUAAUAAAAUGUGCGUAGAUGAUUGUGUAUAAUAAAUGUGAUAUACUGUACUAUACAAUUCAUAAUGCAAUUAAAUCGUUCUAGGGACUUCAUGAUAAAGGCAAGAAGCUUUUGUAACUGUACUGCAAACAGAAAUAAUAAAUAACGUCAUCAGUAAGUAAUGUAAAAUGUACUUAGUUACUGUAUAUACAGAGAAUUUAUCUUUACAAUGGUGUAAAGUCCAGCCGUUCUGCCACUGCUGUAUUCAAAUCUGAUCCAACAAUAUUGUUUUAAUAACGUCAUUACUGGUCGUGACGAAUAGAGACAAAUAAUCCAGUUCAGAAACCGCACACUUAUUUGGCUGCAUCACCUUGCUCAAGUCAAGCAGCAAACAUAUAUUUCAUCCAGAAGAUUUAGAUUAGAAUACCUGUUGCAUAAAACUCAUGUUGUCACAAUUUGUUGUUUUUGUUCCACCCACUUUGUCAUUUUAAGACUAAUUAUGAACUUUGACAGUAAUAAAAUGUUUUAUUCAACAAAUUACAUCAUUCCCAACCAAUUAGAACAGGAUAUAUUUGUAGUGCCACUCCUAUCAGUAGUUUGCUGAUAAUAGGAGUGGCACUACAAAUUAACCAAUGAGAGUGCAGCUUUCUCAUGAAAGACUUUGAUAAAGUAAAAGCUGCCGGUAGCAGCAAGUUACCUAGCAACGAACACAAUGUACAGGCCACAAGGGGAGAUAAACACAUUUUGAAUUGAGGAAAUCCUGGGAAACAGAAGCAGACGAGCCUUGGAGUCAGGUGUCAAAAGGGGUCAUUACUGUAAUGGUCUGCAACGGAAACCUUACCUUGAAUAAAGGUCUCAGACAAGUUGACAUCUAAAGGAAAUGGCUUCGAAUAGAAAUUGGUCUGGAGCACAUUCUAGGGGGCGUGAAGAUCAUUCUAAACAGGGACAGAGUAGCGGCUCCUCAAAAGGUUCAGGCAGUGGAUUCAGGCAGUCCGGCAACAGGGAAGGGAAAGGUGUCAGUCAGAGAACAGGAGAGGUGACAAUUCCUCCUGG